GCAACCAGGCAUCCAUUUCUUCUUCAGUUGAACACAUCAAGAAGCCAUAAGAGGAUUUUCGAUUCGUGCAAGAUUCAAACCACAUUCUUGAUUGUUUGUGUAAAUUCAAACCAGCAUCCUUUUUCUUCUUCUUCUUUCCCCUGAUUUUCGAAGAACCUGCGUGAGAAAAUCCAUUGAUUUUCUUUUCCUUUCGUGACUAUUUCAAGAAACAUUCGACAACUUCCCUUCCUUGACCCAGAUGCUGUCGAAAUAAGGGAGGUGUGAGUGUGUUUUGGUCCAGUUACGUUAACAUCAAAUUCAAGCAAAAAAUCAAGCAUUGAAUCUGUUCUUUCUCGUUUCUUGCUGCUGCAAACAGAAGGAGACAACAUCAUCGAGGAACCCUUUUAGUGAUCGCGGGGAACGAUACUUAGCUUCUUGAAGCAUUAUUGUUUGUUCACAUAUCGGAACCAGUCGGGAAUAAUUAGCGGAGGUUAUUAGAGUUUCCUAGGAUGUAACAUUGAGCUGAGCAUAAGGGAAUUUUGUAGUUUUGUAUUAAGUUUUUGGAUAAAUGUAUAUUAUACUUGGUUGUGUUGGUUACAUUGAACUUAAAGUGAUCUGUAUGUUUACCUCGUGUUUUAGUUAGAUGAUUGGUAUGAGAAUUAGCUGAGUUAGUUACGAUAGAGAUCUAGUGACCCUUUUGCUCAAGUUUUGGAAUUGUGACUAAAAAUUCUUCGGAAAUAAACCCCGUAAUGACCCUGCUUAAUCAGUCAACUGUAAGUCGGGUUGUUACAGUUGUAAUUAUGGUAUGUUGUUAGAUAUUUUAUUGUGUAUUUCGAUGUGAACAUAGCAAGUGAUCUGAUGUUUAGGU